rnacentral:snoRNA from 1 species
AUGGGAAAUAUGAUGACCGUAUAGUUCAGCUGAUAGUUCUAUGCUGAAUAACAAAUUUAGUCUUUCACCCCUAUCUGACGAUUCCCAG